GUGAGGCUUUCGGACUGGCCUAGGGAGAGCGGCAACGUUCACCCAGGGCCGGAAAGUUGUCCAAACUUGGUCAUUUAGAGGAAGUAAAAGUCGUAACAAGGUCUCCGUAGGUGAACCUGCGGAGGGAUCAUUA
rnacentral:rRNA from 1 species